UUUAUAUAGAUAAAGUGCAAUUGCAUGCGAUAAGCUAAACAUGGAUUUUUUGUAUCGAUCACUAUCCUUCAUUCAUUGUAUAUACUCGAAUUGAAAAGAUACAUCACUGACAACUGUGAACAAUAAAAAUGGCGUAUCGCGGUGUGAAGGGAUCCGAUCCAUUUGUGUCAAAAACUUCGCGAAAUGAACGUUUUGCGCAAAUGUCAAAGCAAGAACAAAUUAUUCAACAAAAAAAGUUGGAAAUUCAAGCGAAAAUGCAAGAACAGAAGGCGAAAGAAGCAGUAGAGUGCAUGAAAAAGUCGAAUUCGUCUACGUCGACCACAAUUAGUAAAGGCAAUGGUGUAAAGGAAGAAGAUGAAAAGUCUAUCGCAUCCCUUUCAAUGAAUGUGUUUGCCAAUGACGGUAGUUUUCUCGAUCAAUUCAAGAAAAUAGCAAAUAAAGCAACUGGCAAACAAGAAACUCAGCAAGAUAAAACUGAGGAUAAAAGAAAAGAUGAGAAAAAUUAUGAAGCCGCUAGAGAAAGAGACAAAGAAAGGAAGCGUGAUAAUGAAAAAAAUAGAGAUUGGGACAGUAGGAGAGAUCGCAGGAGAAAUGAUUCGCGUUGGGGAAGGAGCUUAGAUAGAAAGCAUAGUUCCUCCUCGAGUCCAUCGCCUACGAGGCGGAGAUCGUCGCCUAGUCCCGAGACACGGCGUAGCUACAAUCAUGCGCAGAAUGGACAACGUGCGCAAUUUAAUCACGUUCCAAUUCAAAGUAAUAAUCAUGCCUCUUCCAUCCCAUCUCUCAUGUCUCAACCGGUGCAAAUGCAAAUGACAAAUAUACCGCCCCCGAAUAUAAGAAACUUGGCGCCGAGCGCUUCGUCCGCGAAUCUGCAAAGGAUACCAAUGUCGAAGAAUUUUAAUAACACGUACACAAAUAUAAAUGAUCAUUCUAGCAAUGUUAGGAUGCAAAUUGCACCGCCGCAUAUUAUACGUCCCGCUCAUCCCAUCCAAAGCAUUCCACCUAAUACAAACGUUCCGCCGCCAAACAUGCAAUUGUCCCAAUCUAUGCCAAUGUCUAACUUACCAUCGUCAUCGAACGGACAACAGCACAUUAUACAAAAUCCGCAACAAUGCAGCAUACCACCCCCGUCAUGUAGCGCUAACUUACAACAUCCACCGAAUAUUCCCCCACCCAAUAUACCACCGCCAAAUAUCUUACCGCCAAUGUCGCAAAUGCCACCGACCUUGAUACCUAUCACGGGCUCGCAAGCCAUCGUAGUGACGGUACCAAGCGUAGCCAAUGUUCCACCCCCAAAUGUAAUAACGUCCAUGAUAAUGUCAGCGCCUCCACCGGUGCAUACCGUUCCAUCGACGAUUAAUUCGGUUCCGCCACCAAACCUGAAUAUUCCACCGCCGAAUGUUCCACCUCCCACUGUCAUUCCUAAUACAGCACCGUCACGCGGCCUUGUGUCCACUGGCUAUGCUCUUUCCAAUCAGGUACCUCUUUCGGUGGGCCCUCCUAAUAUUCAAAUACCACCGCCUGUCAGACCGCCGACUAAUCUACAGAAUUCUGAACAACAAGUGUGUCUAGUAGAGGCUGAGCAGCUGGCACGCAUCGUGGCUGACUGUGGAGAUGAAAUUGAACAAGAAGUGCGAGAGAAGAAUGCUCAAGAUCCUAAAUUAUGGUUUCUGCACCAAAAGCAAAGUGCAGCGUAUCUGCAGUACAGGGGAUUGGUUUCAAAAUUUCGUGCGGAGAAGCCAAAGGAUAAGGAUAAGGAUAAGGAUAAGAAGAAUAAUGGUGCGGAACUUUAUUGCCCCGAAGAAGCUCUUAGUGACAAUGAUGAGGCGGAUAAAUUACAGAAAUCUCAUACAAUUCCACAUGCGGAUCAACUAAAGGACGAUAAUAGGGAAGAACGGAAAAGAAAAAGACGUAGUCGUUGGGGCGAUCCGGAUACCAAGGUUUUGGUUACAGAAACAAGUGUGUCUUCUGGUAAUAGGCCAAAUGCUGUAUUUCCUCAACCUGGUAUUGCUAUACCGGGACAAAUUGGGCAACCCGCUGUUAUAUUACCCUCUCCGUCAAAAGGACAAGAUAUCAAAUCAAAGAAUCCAAUGCUUACUAAGAUUUCACGAAACGAUCCUGCGCUUAUUCAUUAUGCGAGACAGACAUUUGGUACGCUCGAUCUUAAUGAAGAACAAUGGAAGAAGGCAGAAGAUCAUUACAAGAUAAAUCUCUUGUACCAAAAUCUUUUGAGAAAAAGGGAAGAAGUGAAACGUUUGGAAGCACAAGGAAAACAUAAAUACGAAUAUGAUAGCGAUGAAGAGACGGAAGGUGGGACUUGGGAACACAAAUUGAGAUCUGCUGAAAUGGAGGCGACGCAAAUGUGGGCCGAGGAAUUAACUGCACAAGCAGAAGGCAAACAUCAUAUUGGCGAUUUUCUGCCACCGGACGAGCUAAAAAAAUUUAUGGAACAAUAUAAUGCUGUAAAACAAGGAAAAGAACCUGAUUUGAGUGAUUACAAGGAAUACAAGUUAAAAGAAGAUAAUAUAGAGCGACGAACAGACUCGAUAGUGCGGGUUUAGGUUCUGAAAGACCAGAUGGAGUGUCUAGGGACGAUGAUGAAUUUGAUGCAUAUAGGAAACGGAUGAUGCUCGCAUAUAGAUUUAGGCCUAAUCCACUAAAUAAUCCGAGAAGACCUUAUUAUUAAGAGAACUAGAAGACAAAAUUCUAAACACACAUAUUCUUUUUAUUACAGAACAGUGUAAAGUAGAUUGUCUUUAUUUUGUAUAUUACACAGAUUGUAUAUUUUAUUUUGAGAUAUAUCUCUUACAAAAUUUUUCUCUAACUGAAGGCAUUUCAAAAAUUGCUUUAAUGUAUACAAAUGAGAGAUAUAUUAAUAUAGAUAAAUUUAUGUGAACAAAAGUUUUAUUCUAUAGACUUUUUUUUUGUAAGAAACGGUGUGAGUACGGUGCAUCUUCUCUCAGUGUCAUUGAUUUAUCCUUUGCAAAAAUAUCGCUGUUAUUUAUAUACAAGCGUAGUUUUUGCAACCUGUUUACAUAUGCAUUAAAAGUAAUAGUGAUAUUUA
rnacentral:misc_RNA from 1 species